GACGGAAGGUGCAAGCGUUGCUCGGAAUCACUGGGCGUAAAGGGUGCGUAGGCGGCUUGGUAGGCCUGGUGUGAAAGCCCCGGGCUCAGCCCGGGAAGGGCACUAGAAACUGCCAAGCUAGAGUGCCGGAGGGGAGAGUGGAAUUCCUGGUGUAGCGGUGAAAUGCGUAGAUACGAGGAAGACACCGGUGGUGUAGACGGCUUUCUGGACCGACACUGACGCUGAGACACGAAAGCGUGGGUAGCAAACAGG
rnacentral:rRNA from 1 species